rnacentral:lncRNA from 1 species
ACCUUAACAUCAUAAGUGGAAUAUAUUGCUCGCUAUUGCUUCUCUUUUAACUGUUUCAACUGAUUCUUUUUCAGCUUGGAAAGAACAAGAUGAACAGACCCACCUUCAAUCUGAUGCUUGAUGAGGAAAAAGGCUGUUUUGUUGGAGCCAAGGAGUCAUGAAAGAAACCCAAGAAGACAACUUGGACAGCGAGCAGAAGAUAAAAAGCAAACAGAAAGAAUGUGGCAUACAAAGGGUGUAAUACCUGGAGGUAUCGGAGCUGACUCAUAUUUAUAAAAAAAAAUGAGACGAGCUUUCACCAAGUACAAGUUCUCUUAAGCCAGUCCUCGAGCUGGGAGCCAUGCUGGGGAACUAGGAAUUCUCCUUCUCCCCCCUCCUCCUUUCUGACAGGGAACGAAAGGAUUGGCGAAUUAUGAUUUGCCCAAGUCGGAAGCACUAAUUUUUUUCCUCUCUAGAGUUCGUCCUUAUGAAUAGAUAAGGAGUUUAAACCUUGCAUAUUUAAUGUGGACUGUGGUGGGAGAGUGACUCGUUGAACCAAAAUGGCCACUGGGAAGGACUUGGUUUCAAACUGAGCUCGGAGCCUCCCGAUGCACUUUGUCCGAUUCGGGAUCAGCCGUGCUGCAGGGCCUGCUCUGGGAGGCCAGGAUGACAUGUAGGAGAAGGAGAUCCCCCUCCUGCUGAUAUCUCUGGAGAC